AUUGAACGCUGGCGGCAGGCCUAACACAUGCAAGUCGAGCGGAUGAAGGGAGCUUGCUCCUGGAUUCAGCGGCGGACGGGUGAGUAAUGCCUAGGAAUCUGCCUGGUAGUGGGGGAUAACGUCCGUAAACGGGCGCUAAUACCGCAUACGUCCUGAGGGAGAAAGUGGGGGAUCUUCGGACCUCACGCUAUCAGAUGAGCCUAGGUCGGAUUAGCUAGUUGGUGGGGUAAAGGCCUACCAAGGCGACGAUCCGUAACUGGUCUGAGAGGAUGAUCAGUCACACUGGAACUGAGACACGGUCCAGACUCCUACGGGAGGCAGCAGUGGGGAAUAUUGGACAAUGGGCGAAAGCCUGAUCCAGCCAUGCCGCGUGUGUGAAGAAGGUCUUCGGAUUGUAAAGCACUUUAAGUUGGGAGGAAGGGCAGUGAGUUAAUACCUUGCUGUUUUGACGUUACCAACAGAAUAAGCACCGGCUAACUUCGUG
rnacentral:rRNA from 1 species